rnacentral:rRNA from 1 species
UACGGAGGGUGCGAGCGUUGUCCGGAAUCAUUGGGCGUAAAGGGCGCGUAGGUGGCCCGGUCAGUCCGUGGUGAAAGCGCGGGGCUCAACCCCGCGUCGGCCAUGGAUACUGCUGGGCUGGAGCACUGUAGAGGCAGGCGGAAUUCCGGGUGUAGCGGUGGAAUGCGUAGAGAUCCGGAAGAACACCCGUGGCGCAAGCGGCCACCUGGCAGAGCACUGACGCUGAGGCACGAAAGCGUGGGUAGCGAACCGG